GCGGCGUGCUUAACACAUGCAAGUCGAACGUUGAUAUUUAAAAUGAGAGCUUCGGCAGGAUUUUUAUCUAUCUUAGUGGCGGACGGGUGAGUAACGUGUGGGCAACCUGCCCUGUACUGGGGAAUAAUCAUUGGAAACGAUGACUAAUACCGCAUGUGGUCCUCGGAAGGCAUCUUCUGAGGAAGAAAGGAUUUAUUCGGUACAGGAUGGGCCCGCAUCUGAUUAGCUAGUUGGUGAGAUAACAGCCCACCAAGGCGACGAUCAGUAGCCGACCUGAGAGGGUGAUCGGCCACAUUGGGACUGAGACACGGCCCAAACUCCUACGGGAGGCAGCAGUGGGGAAUAUUGCACAAUGGGCGAAAGCCUGAUGCAGCAACGCCGCGUGAAGGAUGAAGGGUUUCGGCUCGUAAACUUCUAUCAAUAGGGAAGAAAGAAAUGACGGUACCUAAAUAAGAAGCCCCGGCUAACUACGUGCCAGCAGCCGCGGUAAUACGUAGGGGGCAAGCGUUAUCCGGAAUUACUGGGUGUAAAGGGAGCGUAGGCGGCAUGGUAAGCCAGAUGUGAAAGCCCUGGGCUUAACCCGAGGGAUGGCAUUUGGAACUAUCAAGCUAGAGUACAGGAGAGGAAAGCGGAAAUUCCUAGUGUAGCGGUGAAAUGCGUAGAUAUUAGAAAGAACACCAGUGGGCCAAGGCGGCUUUCUGGACUGAAACUGACGCUGAGGCUCGAAAGCGUGGGGAGCAAACAGGAUUAGAUACCCUGGUAGUCCACGCCGUAAACGAUGAGUGCUAGGUGUCGGGGAGGAAUCCUCGGUGCCGCAGCUAACGCAAUAAGCACUCCACCUGGGGAGUACGACCGCAAGGUUGAAACUCAAAGGAAUUGACGGGGGCCCGCACAAGCGGUGGAGCAUGUGGUUUAAUUCGAAGCAACGCGAAGAACCUUACCAAGGCUUGACAUCCCGAUGACCGUCCUAGAGAUAGGACUUCUCUUCGGAGCAUCGGUGACAGGUGGUGCAUGGUUGUCGUCAGCUCGUGUCGUGAGAUGUUGGGUUAAGUCCCGCAACGAGCGCAACCCUUAUCUUCAGUAGCCAUCAUUCAGUUGGGCACUCUGGAGAGACUGCCGUGGAUAACACGGAGGAAGGUGGGGAUGACGUCAAAUCAUCAUGCCCCUUAUGUCUUGGGCUACACACGUGCUACAAUGGCUGGUAACAAAGUGACGCAAAACGGGGACGUUAAGCAAAUCACAAAAACCCAGUCCCAGUUCGGAUUGUAGUCUGCAACUCGACUACAUGAAGCUGGAAUCGUUAGUAAUCGCGAAUCAGCAUGUCGCGGUGAAUACGUUCCCGGGCCUUGUACACACCGCCCGUCACACCAUGGGAGUUGGAAGCACCCGAAGUCGGUGACCUAACCGUAAGGAAGGAGCCGCCGAAGGUGAAGCCA
rnacentral:rRNA from 1 species